rnacentral:lncRNA from 1 species
AGCAGACCUCUCAUAGGUUUAUUUGUUUAUUUGGUAAUUUAUCUAUUUUGAAGCGUUAAUUCUCAAUUUCUGAUGAUAUAACACAAAGUUUAUAUCUUAUCCAAAAAUUUGAUUUACACCAAAAAUGAAAAACAAAACUAACCGAAGAAAAGUAUGACCAAAUAAAAAAAAACUUGCCGACGUAUUUGUGUGUUGAGAAAUCCAGAACUAAUAAAAAUAAGUGUCUAUGAGCAUUGGAGGGUGUGGAUAUAGGAUAAAGACAGGAUGUGGAUAUAGAAUAAAGGCGAUAGGAACGUUCAUCUUGCAUUGAGCCCGAACACCAACAAUUGUUGAACUAUCCUAUAGUCAUAUUGAUUGAUAAAAUGUACGUCACAUCAAAGUUCACGGUAUCGCUUUCAGAGUUAAUUUCGUUUCUUUAUUCUCUUUUAAAGAUACUUUUUUUAGUAUUUUGAAAAG